UCCCGGUCGGAUCCGGCUGAACGUGACGCGUCGCGUUGAAGCCGCGCGAGCGACAGAGAGAGGGAGAGACGGAGCGAGGUUUCCUGGCGGAGCUGCGGAGGAAGCAGAGCGGGAGCUGCGUGACUGUCUGCCGCCGCAGUCCCUGUCCGCCCGUCUGAGGGGGGAGACUCUCUCUCGAAAAACAGCCGCCUGUGUUUUCAGCUUCCGCGGGCUUCGGCAGCGAUGGACGCGUCGCUGUCCUCGUCCCGUUUUCGCCGCUGACUGAGACCGACGGAUGCUUCAGUGCCCGUAGAGGAGGAGGGGAGGAGGAGGAGGAGAGGAGGAGGAGGAGGAGGAGGAGAAGGAGGAGGGCAUCCUGUCAUUCUCCCACUGCCAGGCUAACUCACGACCGGAGCGCCUGAUCACAGGAGGAGGAGAAGUUUGAAAGGACGAGGGCGUGAGGAACAACCUGUGAAACAGAGAGAGGGAGAGCAGGGGGGAGGAAAGAGAGAGAACAGUCAAGUUUGGGAUGAGAGGAGGGAAGAGAACGUGAAGAGAGAGAGAUAGAGAGGGGAACAGAUCUGAGGUCAGGAGAGAGAGAGAGAGAGAGAGAGAGCAGGCGCAGGUAGGCCGGCGGUCAGACGGACCCGCUGAUCCACGGGAGAGGAGACGUCACCAUGAGCGACCAGAACGUUGUCAAGGAAGGAUGGGUCCAGAAGAGAGGCGAGUACAUCAAGAACUGGCGACCACGUUACUUCCUGCUGAAAACAGACGGCUCCUUUAUCGGAUACAAGGACAAACCACAGGACUCGGACCUGGCCUACCCACUCAAUAACUUCUCUGUA